rnacentral:rRNA from 1 species
ACAUGCAAGUCGAGCGGACAGAUGGGAGCUUGCUCCCUGAUGUUAGCGGCGGACGGGUGAGUAACACGUGGGUAACCUGCCUGUAAGACUGGGAUAACUCCGGGAAACCGGGGCUAAUACCGGAUGGUUGUUUGAACCGCAUGGUUCAGACAUAAAAGGUGGCUUCGGCUACCACUUACAGAUGGACCCGCGGCGCAUUAGCUAGUUGGUGAGGUAACGGCUCACCAAGGCGACGAUGCGUAGCCGACCUGAGAGGGUGAUCGGCCACACUGGGACUGAGACACGGCCCAGACUCCUACGGGAGGCAGCAGUAGGGAAUCUUCCGCAAUGGACGAAAGUCUGACGGAGCAACGCCGCGUGAGUGAUGAAGGUUUUCGGAUCGUAAAGCUCUGUUGUUAGGGAAGAACAAGUGCCGUUCAAAUAGGGCGGCACCUUGACGGUACCUAACCAGAAAGCCACGGCUAACUACGUGCCAGCAGCCGCGGUAAUACGUAGGUGGCAAGCGUUGUCCGGAAUUAUUGGGCGUAAAGGGCUCGCAGGCGGUUUCUUAAGUCUGAUGUGAAAGCCCCCGGCUCAACCGGGGAGGGUCAUUGGAAACUGGGGAACUUGAGUGCAGAAGAGGAGAGUGGAAUUCCACGUGUAGCGGUGAAAUGCGUAGAGAUGUGGAGGAACACCAGUGGCGAAGGCGACUCUCUGGUCUGUAACUGACGCUGAG